rnacentral:tRNA from 1 species
GGCAAAGUAGUUUAAAGUGAAGAACAUUAGGUUGUGGUCCUAUUUGAGGAUAAAAUCCCUUUGCUU